GCUCGUGAGCACCGUGGAUCCCCCCGAAAACCGAACAACGCGGCAGCCCCUUUCAAGAGCGGCCUGGGUGUAUGCGGACGAACUGUGCAAUCCUGGCCUGAGAUGUUAAAGGGAAAACAUUGGCUUACAACUGAACUCUCAGGAGGCAGAUAUUCUCCGCAGCCCAGGGUAACAGAUAGGGCAGUAACUGGAAUAUCUAGAUUUGCACGGUACGCUGGUUGAUAUUGUACUUUCACAGAAGCUCAUAAGGAAUAGGUUAGACAUGGCAUCAGCAUCCAAAGAUGUGGCUACCUUUCUGGGGAAUUACUUGGAAGUAUUAAAACAAAACUUACUUGGAUGACUUAAUUUGAUCCCUUUGCUGAAAACUGGUCUAAUUACUUUAGAGUCGCAUCAUCCAUGUGGCCAUAACAUGUUGCAAACACUAGGCUCAGAGUCACCAAUUGGAGAUGAGGAGAAGCUGAAAAGAAAUUCUGGUGAUCCUGCAUCCCCACUGUAACCAAUCUCCUGUAUUGAAUUCCUUCUGUGUACAUCACCAAACUCCAGGGAAGGGGCAGUCUGCAAAAUACCAGACCAGGACUCCUCAACACUGCCAAGGUCAUCAAAAACAAGGAGAAUCAGAGAUAUUGUCACAGCCACAAGGAGCUUAUGGAGACAUGACAAGUAAAUGUAAUGUGGGCUCCUGGAUGGGAUCCUGGGACAGAAAAGGGCAUUAGGUAAAAACUAAGGAAGUCUGAAUAAAGUCUGGAUUUUAGUUAA